UUUCCUUGUAACCCAACCUGGCGGAGCGGCGGGCCGGCGGCCGUGCGGCACGGCACCGCGCGCAGCCGCGUACGCGUGCGCGUACCAAUCAGUCAACCAAACCCACGCUGUUCCCCUGCGACCCGCCGCCGCCGUCAGUGGUGGUAGCCUGGUAGGUAGGUGGGUGUUCUAGAGGCCCAUCUAUUCUACCGCCAAGUCCACUGGCCGGUUGCCAGCGCCGGUGGCGGUCUCAUCUCAUGGCGGCGGUUGUAAGCUGGUACGGGCCACUGAUCGACCUCUCGGAGGCCGCCAGCCAUGUCGGCGGAUUCGUGCAGCUACUGGCGGUCGUUCGCCGCAUCCUUCCCCACCAGGUGCACAAUGCUGCAACCGGAAGGACGUAUCAGAAAACCAUUGUUGAAGUCGGCGACGAUACACGGUCCAGCUUCUCUGUCUCCCUGUGGUCCUCCAAGCAUAAUUCCACCAUAAUCGCUGGCGAUGUCUUACUGCUGCAAAAUAUUAAGAUAGUGCAAUUUAGAAAUGGCCUGGAGGGAAGAGCUUCUCAGAUGUCUUCAGUCCAAGUAUUGUUGAACUCUAAAGACUUGCUGAACCCUGAACCUGAAGGAAUACAUGAACUAAUAAGCAGUUGCAAAGUUGGGAAUACUACAAAAUCAAAGCUAAGAAGAGUGGUAGAAUGGACCAUACGCACAAAAGGUGCUCUUGCGGAAAGUCAUCAUCAGAUACAGGUGGUAUCGAAGAACUGGAAACAAACAAAAGAAAAUGAAUCAACACAUUUUUUGUCUAUAUCAGAGCUACUCUCUCAGAGAAAAUUAUGUAAUAUAAACAUUUAUGCUUGCAUGAGCAAGAUGGUUUUAGUGAGUUCUCUGACCGCCCCCCUUCAGGCAAACUUGUCAGUGAUCAACAGACAUUCUUUCAAAGAGCACAAUGAUAUCGUAAGAGAUUUGGUUACUGCUGGAUGCAAGUUAUGUGGUUCACCUCUAUAUCACAAAAAUCUUCAUGGGGAAAACACAUGUGCACUUGAUUGUCCUAAUAACCCAAAAUAUCUUCAUGUUCCUGGCCAGAUAUACAAGCCGUUUCUGAUAUAUAUUUAUGACCAAUCUGGACAAGUUCCUUUGCUUGUGAGGAAUAGAGCUGCGGAGACCUUAUUUGCCGGUAUCAUUGCAGAUGAUGUAUCUGAAUGCCACAAAAGCCACAUGCUGUCAGAAGCCUAUGAGUCGUGUAACUUGAGCAAUUCUGGUAUGAUAGAUGAUUCUGGCAACAAGGAGAUAGCAAAAAGGAGAAAAAUUGAACAAAAGCCUAAUUUCUAUCUUAUUUGGCUUAUUCUGAUCAAAUGUCUGCUGAGCCACGGCAACAACAGUCCCUUCUGCUUCCAGAUUUCAGUCAACCCUGAGAAGAAUGUUGAGGAUGGACGUUUCGAAUUGGUUUAUUUGACAAUGCCAAUACCAUGAGAUAGCAAUUUUUCGUGCAACACAUUGUUUAAGUUGAACCAACUCAAUUUUUUUCUAGAAAAAACACCAAAGUUUAUUUUUUCCACAAGAAAAGUUCCUUGGUCACUGCACAGGAACUUGCAUGGUUUGGGUGGCAGAACCAUCAGAUUUGGACUCGGCAUGAAUAUGGUUCAACUUGUAUCUAACCCAUUUUAGUGCUAAUCUUGGAGCCCACUGAAAAUUGGCAUUUUCCCAUAUACAAUAUGAAACAUGCAGUCAGGACUCAGAAGGAGCAUAGAAGAAAGGAUGAUGCAGUACUAUGAUGCAUGCCUGUAGUACUAUCCUUAAACUCUUGGCUUUUCUAGCACUAAGCAGCAGAUUGUAGUGGUUGAAAGAUUUUAUUGACAACUUGACAUUAAGAUUUUUACUCGACCAAUGACAUUGGGACGAGCUGGUGCAUGUGCUACAUUAACAUAUUGGUUCAUUCCACAUGCAAACUUUUUAAAUA